UGGUGGGGUAAGGGCCUACCAAGGCUACGAUCCAUAGCUGAUUUGAGAGGAUGAUCAGCCACAUUGGGACUGAGACACGGCCCAAACUCCUACGGGAGGCAGCAGUGAGGAAUAUUGGACAAUGGGGGCAACCCUGAUCCAGCAAUGCCAUGUGUGUGAAGAAGGCCUUAGGGUUGUAAAGCACUUUAGUUGGGGAAGAAAGCUUUGAGGUUAAUAGCCUUGAGGAAAAGGACGUUACCCAAAGAAUAAGCACCGGCUAACUCCGUGCCAGCAGCCGCGGUAAUACGGGGGGUGCAAGCGUUAAUCGGAAUUACUGGGCGUAAAGGGUCUGUAGGUGGUUUGUUAAGUCAGAUGUGAAAGCCUAGGGCUCAACCUUGGAACUGCAUUUGAUACUGGUAAACUAGAGUACGGUAGAGGAAUGGGGAAUUUCUGGUGUAGCGGUGAAAUGCGUAGAGAUCAGAAGGAACACCAAUGGCGAAGGCAACAUUCUGGACCGAUACUGACACUGAGGGACGAAAGCGUGGGGAUCAAACAGGAUUAGAUACCCUGGUAGUCCACGCUGUAAACGAUGAGUACUAGCUGUUGGAGUCGGUGUAAAGGCUCUAGUGGCGCAGCUAACGCGAUAAGUACUCCGCCUGGGGACUACGGCCGCAAGGCUAAAACUCAAAGGAAUUGACGGGGACCCGCACAAGCGGUGGAGCAUGUGGUUUAAUUCGAUGCAACGC
rnacentral:rRNA from 1 species